rnacentral:lncRNA from 1 species
AAAAGAAUAAGGCUCGCCUUUGAUCCGCCAUAGAUAGUAUUUCAAAAAGAAAAAUCACAUAAUCAGAUAAAGAAUUUAUUACACAUAUCUAAUUGAUUGACAGAGGAAAGACCUGUCCAUCCAGUUCUGUAAGAAUGGAUGUUCCUCCGGAUAGCACUCUUUGAACAAUAAAUGGCCCUUGUCAAGUUGGAGCAAACUUUUUUUUAACCUCCUCUUGAAUCGGAAGAAUUUACUUCAAAACCUUAUCCCUCACUUCAAAUAAGCGAGAUUUGUCUUUCUUGUCAUAACUAACGAACCAUCCUUUGAUGAUAGCACUGUCCAUGACAAACAUUCAACCUCUUUUUUAUCAAUUAGAGAUAACAACUCAUUGUGCUCCUUAAUCCAUUUGAUUUCUUCUGCCUAAGCCUUUGUCAAAAUGUGCAAGGACGGGAUCUCGGUUUUGGCAUGUAUUACCAUUUCCAUUUCAGCAUAAGAGGGCAAGGUAUUGCCCCAACUUAGAAAUGUAAUCUCCAAUGAAAUGCUCCCAGAGUUCAAUUGCAAAAUUUGCAAAAUCGAAGGAAAAACUCUCUUUUUCUUUUUUCUUUUUUUAAUUUUCUUUUCUCUCUUUUUUUCAUUUUUUUCAUUUUUCCGUU